GAGCAGUGAUGACGUCUGCGCUAUUUGUGAUGGCUGGGUCCAUCACCAUUGUCUGAUUAUUCAGAAAGAAAAUACGCGCAUCUGAGCUU